GCACCUACGGGAGGCAGCAGUGGGGGAUAUUGCACAAUGGGGGAAACCCUGAUGCAGCGACGCCGCGUGAGUGAAGAAGUAUUCCGGUACGUAAAGCUCUAUCAGCAGGGAAGAAUAAUGACGGUACCUGACUAAGAAGCCCCGGCUAACUACGUGCCAGCAGCCGCGGUAAUACGUAGGGGGCAAGCGUUAUCCGGAUUUACUGGGUGUAAAGGGAGCGCAGGCGGCAUGGCAAGUCAGAUGUGAAAGCCCGGGGCUCAACCCCGGGACUGCAUUUGAAACUGUCAGGCUGGAGUGCAGGAGAG
rnacentral:rRNA from 1 species